GGUAAGCUUGACUUUUGGACUCUUUCCAUUCUUAACUAACAACAUUGCAGUAGGUGAACCUGCGGAAGGAUCAUUCACGAGACUGGGUUUCUCACGAAGCCCAAAUCUCCCAACCCUUUGCAAACUUGAAACUUUGUUUGGCAAGCCGAGUUACGUCGGUGACUCCAUCGGCCUAUCGGUUGAUGAGUGCUUGCCAAAAUAUUUUCCAAAUUCUUUGAAAAGUCUGAAAACAUUGAGAAACGAAAGCCUAAAACUUUCAACAACGGAUCUCUUGGUUCUG
rnacentral:misc_RNA from 1 species